rnacentral:miRNA from 1 species
CAUGGUUAUUUAGAGCAUAAGA